AACGAACGCUGGCGGCAUGCCUAACACAUGCAAGUCGAACGAGAUCCUUCGGGGUCUAGUGGCGCACGGGUGCGUAACGCGUGGGAAUCUGCCCUUAGGUUCGGAAUAACAGUUAGAAAUGACUGCUAAUACCGGAUGAUGACGUUAAGUCCAAAGAUUUAUCGCCUGAGGAUGAGCCCGCGUAGGAUUAGCUAGUUGGUGUGGUAAAGGCGCACCAAGGCGACGAUCCUUAGCUGGUCUGAGAGGAUGAUCAGCCACACUGGGACUGAGACACGGCCCAGACUCCUACGGGUGGCAGCAGUGGGGAAUAUUGGACAAUGGGCGCAAGCCUGAUCCAGCAAUGCCGCGUGAGUGAUGAAGGCCUUAGGGUUGUAAAGCUCUUUUACCCGGGAUGAUAAUGACAGUACCGGGAGAAUAAGCCCCGGCUAACUCCGUG
rnacentral:rRNA from 1 species